GGGGAAUUUUCCGCAAUGGGCGAAAGCCUGACAGAGCAAUACCGCGUGAGGGAAGAAGGCUUACUGAGUUGUAAACCUCUGUUACCUAAGGAGGAAGAUCUGACGUUACUUAGGAGACGAAGCAUCGGCUAACUCCGUGCCAGCAGCCGCGGUAAGACGGAGGAUGCAAGUGUUAUCCGGAAUUACUGGGCGUAAAGCAUCUGCAGGUGGUUUCUUAAGUCCACUGUUAAACCUUGAGGCUCAACCUCAAUUCAGCAUUGGAAACUGGGAAACUUGAGUAUAGUAGGGGUAGAGGGAAUUUCCAGUGGAGCGGUGAAAUGCGUAGAUAUUGGAAAGAACACCGAUGGCGAAGGCACUCUACUAGGCUAUUACUGACACUCAGAGACGAAAGCUAGGGGAGCAAAUGGGAUUAGAUACCCCUGUAGUC
rnacentral:rRNA from 1 species